AAGUCGUAACAAGGUCUCCGUAGGUGAACCUGCGGAGGGAUCAUUAACACGUUUUAUUUACUAAAACAAACCAAACUCUUUACUGUGAACCGAAACAAACUUUUUAUUUUAACCCACUAAACAACCACCCAUGAACAGCACACUGUCGGUCUCCGGACUGCUCAGAUAGUUGUACUAAUCAAACCAAGACUGGAGAUCCGGCUUAACUGCUGUGACCUCCUGCUCUUAUAUCUAAAAACUAAAAGAACAACUCUUAGCAAUGGAUAUCUUGGUUCUC
rnacentral:misc_RNA from 1 species